GUGUGCUGAAUUGUCAUUUAUGGAACUUUUCAGUUUCAAUGUGCUCAGUUUUAACAGCUGAUGGAACUGUGGCAGCUCCAAUCCCGGGUUUAUCCUUGUAUUUACAUUGAUUACAUUUAACGCUGCAUCGAACGCUAACUUACUGCAAACUGCAGUAGCUAAAGGGAAGUCCCCCUUGCAGGGAACAAGCAGCGAGGGGCGCAGCAUGUGCUCCUUGCAGGGGGCGGUAGCACGCAGUUGAGGACGGGCACCUGCCCCAGCCCCAGCAAGGCACAGGUGGGCCAGGGUCGUUACUGCAGCUGGGGCUCCGGAGCAGCUGAGGGUUGUUAAGACUUGAAUAGGCACAAAAGGGUUGGGGAUUGGUGUGGAAGCAAGGUAAAGCGUUUCUUAUUUGUUGCAGGGAAGCUUUUGAAUUAGGGGUGUGAGGGAGAAGAGGGGCGGCUUCUAAGAUAAAAUGGCUGCGGGGAGGGGGAAAGAGUGCACGGCGGUUGGUGUCUGCCUCGCUGCCCUCGAGACGGGAUGCGCCUGUGGACCACUUCUGCUGUCCUGUGGUGGGAGGCACUUGGAAGUGAGUCGUGCUGCGUGUGAGGGAGGGACGGUGCUGCUGCUGCCUUCCAAUGGCUUCUGGAAAAGUGCAGAAAUUACCCUGUCUACAUGAGAACAUAUGCUAUGUAGAAAGACAAGAGGAAGACAGCCUGGAAGUCAUACAAAGAUGGAUUUAAAGAGUGAAGACUGAUGAAUUAGAAGAUGAGGCAAAAGCUACCUUGUUGUUUUUUUCCUUUCUUUUUAAAGGAAGUGUCAAAUGAAAAAUCAAUGCGGUAUAAUCUUUUUUGAAAUAGGGAGGUAUUGGGGGAAUCAAUGAUCACAUGAAAGAUAUGAAGAGAG
rnacentral:lncRNA from 1 species